rnacentral:lncRNA from 1 species
CAAAGGUGUAUUGGACAAGGUGAGCAUAAAGAUUAUCACCCACAACAGUUUUAAGAGUGAAGGCGACCCAUGGAAAAAUGCACAAGGACAACAGGAGUAACCAGAACUGUCGUAAGCAAACAGAUUGUACGGUCAUCCUAACUAUGGGAAGGGUGUAUGCAGAUGAUACUUGGGAGGUACUGAGUGUGACUGCAUCAUGGCAAAUGGUGUCAGCAUGUGGAUGGCUCCGGGAUUGAGGGAGCAUGUGACGCCAGAUUCACAGAUCACCUGGUAUCAGCCAUGUGUAGGAGAGGACUAGUCCAGCAGCUACUCACUCCUUGGGGCAGAUGGCUUCCUGGGUGUGCAUUUUCAUGUUGACCCACGGCUUCCUCAGCUGGCUGAGACCAGAGUACUCACAGACCUGGGAGAUUGACACAUGGUGCCAGGUGGCCAUGGAACCUCCUUCCUGGAUUCAGGACUCCCUCAGCGUAAAUCUGGGAAAGCUGUUCCUGGAGCUCCCGGCCCAUGAGGGUGAUGCACAGCCUUCUCCCUAAGCCUCAUGGACUUGGACUUGCUGUGAUUCCCACAGUGACCUCAUCAGCCCCUGUCACAGGAACAAAAUAUGCCAGCACCGCCCUUGACUUUAUAGGUCCUGGCAAGGUGGGAGACACUUGG